rnacentral:rRNA from 1 species
UACGAAGGGGGCUAGCGUUGCUCGGAAUCACUGGGCGUAAGCGCACGUAGGCGGACUCUUAAGUCGGUGGUGAAAUCCUGGAGCUCAACUCCAGAACUGCCUUCGAUACUGAGAGUCUUGAGUCCGGGAGAGGUGAGUGGAACUGCGAGUGUAGAGGUGAAAUUCGUAGAUAUUCGCAAGAACACCAGUGGCGAAGGCGGCUCACUGGCCCGGUACUGACGCUGAGGUGCGGAAAGCGUGGGGAGCAAACAGG